GGCUGCCGUAUGUGCGGUGAAUUUCGUGCGAGAGAAGAAUCGGCGGAUGUUUAACAUCAUUUCGUGUCCAUCGAUGUUUUUUUUCUUUGGAAAAUUGCGAGAAGGUUCGUCACUACAAAGCGACGAAAUUUCAUCACGAUCUGGGCGUUAAUGGCGAUAAAAAUCCGUCGAGAAGAUGCCAAGUUGUGAACAAUCUUCGCUCAAACUUGCUUGCGAAAAGUUGACUAACGUGUACUGAAACAGUGUGAAAGUGAAAGAAAAAAUCCUGAGAUGUCAUUUUAUAAAAUUCCAAAAAAUCCAGAGUUGAGGAAAAAGUGGGUAUGUUUGUUGAAAAGAAAAGAAAAGGAAUAAGGGACCCUGGAUCCAGUCAUAAAGUAUGCUCAGCACAUUUUGUGGGUGGUGCAAAAACAUACAGCAACAAUGUUCCACUACUACACACAAACCUAUGAAAAGCCCAACUAUUCGGACAAUGGCAGCCAAAAUUCCAGUAAUUACUGAACAAACAUAUUUCAAAAAUACAGGUUACAGUCAAUGGUUUUAAAGGACUUGUCUCAUUCCUUAGAAGUCCAACUCUUCAAAGUCAACAUCCAGGAGAUCUCUACAUCGUCCCUAAGAGGCUCAGUCAGGAUGUUGUGGAAUGCUUUUUCUCAAUCCAAAGACAAGCUUGAGGAGGAACAAACAACAUGACAGCAUUGGAAUCUACCCAUGUCAAUUGUAAAGAUUACUUGUACUUCUUUGACUUAUAUGAAAUAAUUUGAUUCAGUAUAUGUCAUUGAAAAUGUCAAAUAACAGAAUAAUUGGUUUAAACCCAUACAAGUACAAAAAAUCCAAAAUAAUUGGCAAAAAGAGGCUAAGUAGUGAUUGCAUUUCUUACCCUGUUCAG